rnacentral:rRNA from 1 species
UGAACGCUAGCUACAGGCUUAACACAUGCAAGUCGAGGGGCAUCAGGAAGAAAGCUUGCUUUCUUUGCCGGCGACCGGCGCACGGGUGAGUAACACGUAUCCAACCUGCCCUUUACUCGGGGAUAGCCUUUCGAAAGAAAGAUUAAUACCCGAUAGCAUAAUGAUUCCGCAUGGUUUCAUUAUUAAAGGAUUCCGGUAAAGGAUGGGGAUGCGUUCCAUUAGGUUGUUGGUGAGGUAACGGCUCACCAAGCCUUCGAUGGAUAGGGGUUCUGAGAGGAAGGUCCCCCACAUUGGAACUGAGACACGGUCCAAACUCCUACGGGAGGCAGCAGUGAGGAAUAUUGGUCAAUGGGCGCUAGCCUGAACCAGCCAAGUAGCGUGAAGGAUGAAGGCUCUAUGGGUCGUAAACUUCUUUUAUAUAAGAAUAAAGUGCAGUAUGUAUACUGUUUUGUAUGUAUUAUAUGAAUAAGGAUCGGCUAACUCCGUGCCAGCAGCCGCGGUAAUACGGAGGAUCCGAGCGUUAUCCGGAUUUAUUGGGUUUAAAGGGAGCGUAGGUGGACUGGUAAGUCAGUUGUGAAAGUUUGCGGCUCAACCGUAAAAUUGCAGUUGAUACUGUCAGUCUUGAGUACAGUAGAGGUGGGCGGAAUUCGUGGUGUAGCGGUGAAAUGCUUAGAUAUCACGAAGAACUCCGAUUGCGAAGGCAGCUCACUGGACUGCAACUGACACUGAUGCUCGAAAGUGUGGGUAUCAAACAGGAUUAGAUACCCUGGUAGUCCACACAGUAAACGAUGAAUACUCGCUGUUUGCGAUAUACAGUAAGCGGCCAAGCGAAAGCAUUAAGUAUUCCACCUGGGGAGUACGCCGGCAACGGUGAAACUCAAAGGAAUUGACGGGGGCCCGCACAAGCGGAGGAACAUGUGGUUUAAUUCGAUGAUACGCGAGGAACCUUACCCGGGCUUAAAUUGCAGUGGAAUGAUGUGGAAACAUGUCAGUGAGCAAUCACCGCUGUGAAGGUGCUGCAUGGUUGUCGUCAGCUCGUGCCGUGAGGUGUCGGCUUAAGUGCCAUAACGAGCGCAACCCUUAUCUUCAGUUACUAACAGGUCAUGCUGAGGACUCUGGAGAGACUGCCGUCGUAAGAUGUGAGGAAGGUGGGGAUGACGUCAAAUCAGCACGGCCCUUACGUCCGGGGCUACACACGUGUUACAAUGGGGGGUACAGAAGGCAGCUAGCGGGUGACCGUAUGCUAAUCCCAAAAUCCUCUCUCAGUUCGGAUCGAAGUCUGCAACCCGACUUCGUGAAGCUGGAUUCGCUAGUAAUCGCGCAUCAGCCACGGCGCGGUGAAUACGUUCCCGGGCCUUGUACACACCGCCCGUCAAGCCAUGGGAGCCGGGGGUACCUGAAGUACGUAACCGCAAGGAUCGUCCUAGGGUAAAACUGGUGACUGGGGC